rnacentral:rRNA from 1 species
CCUACGGGUGGCAGCAGUGGGGAAUAUUGGGCAAUGGAGGCAACUCUGACCCAGCAAUGCCGCGUGAAUGAUGAAGGUCUUCGGAUUGUAAAGUUCUUUAAUCAGGGACGAAGAAAGUGACGGUACCUGAGGAAUAAGCCACGGCAAACUAGGUGCCAGCAGCCGCGGUAAUACGUAGGUGGCAAGCGUUGUCCGGAAUGACUGGGCGUAAAGGGAGCGUAGGCGGUUUGUUAAGUUGGAAGUGAAAUCCCAAGGCUCAACCCUGGAACUGCUUCUAAGACUGACGGACUUGAGUGCAGGAGGGGUAAGCGGAAUUCCUAGUGUAGCGGUGGAAUGCGUAGAUAUUAGGAGGAACACCAGUGGCGAAGGCGGAUUACUGGAUUAUAACUGACGCUGAGGCACGAAAGCGUGGGUAGCAAACAGGAUUAGAUACCCGAGUAGUC